rnacentral:rRNA from 1 species
UACGUAGGGUCCGAGCGUUGUCCGGAAUUAUUGGGCGUAAAGAGCUCGUAGGCGGUUUGUCGCGUCUGCUGUGAAAUCCCGAGGCUCAACCUCGGGUCUGCAGUGGGUACGGGCAGACUGGAGUGCGGUAGGGGAGAAUGGAAUUCCUGGUGUAGCGGUGGAAUGCGCAGAUAUCAGGAGGAACACCGAUGGCGAAGGCAGUUCUCUGGGCCGUAACUGACGCUGAGGAGCGAUAGCGUGGGGAGCGAACAGG